rnacentral:rRNA from 1 species
CCCUUAGAUGUUCUGGGCCGCACACGCGCUACACUGAAGGAGGCAGCGUGUACUCCUGGAUCGAAAGAUUUGGGUAACCCGCGAAUCUCCUUCGUGCUAGGGAUUGAGGUUUGCAAUUAUCCUCCAUGAACGAGGAAUUCCCAGUAAGUGCAAGUCAUAAGCUUGCGCUGACUACGUCCCUGCCCUUUGUACACACCGCCCGUCGCUACUACCGAUUGAAUGAUUUAGUGAGGACUUCGGACUGGGACCGAUGCGGCUUUCGGGCUGCGUCGGUAUUCUGGAAAGAUGUCCAAACUGUAUCAUUUAGAGGAAGUAAAAGUCGUAACA